CGGGAGGUCGGACAAACCUCGACAUCCCCUGGGAAUGGCGGCAAGAUGUCGGGGGCUGCACCCCCUGUCCCCUGCUUUGGGAGCAGGAGGUCCCGGGUUCGAAUCCCGGCGCCCCGA
rnacentral:tRNA from 1 species